GAUGAACGCUGGCGGCGUGCCUAAUACAUGCAAGUCGAGCGAACAGACCAUGAGCUUGCUCCUCUCUCGUUGGCGGCGGGCGGGAGAGUAACGUGUGUAUAACCUCCUUCUAUGACUGGGAUAACUUCGGGACAGCGGAGCUAAUACCAUAUAAUAUAUUGCACCGCAGGGUUCAAUAGUAAAUGACGGCUUUUCUGUCUCUACUAGCUGGAUCCGCGCCGCAUUAUGUGGUUGGUAAGGUCACGGCUUACCACGGGUACGAGGCGUGGCCGACGGGAGAGGGUGAUCGGCCACACGGGAAGUGGGACACGGACCAGACGCCUACGGGAGGCAGCAGUAGGGAAUGUUCCGCAAUGGGCGAAAGCCUGACGCAGCGAGGCCGCGUGAGUGAAGAAGGCCUUCGGGUCGUAAAGCCCUGUUAUGGGUGAAGAACAACUUUGUAAGUAAAUAUGGACGGCUUGACGGUAAUUAAUAAGAAAGCAACGGCUAACUACGUG
rnacentral:rRNA from 1 species